UACGUAGGGGGCUAGCGUUGUCCGGAAUCAUUGGGCGUAAAGAGCGUGUAGGCGGUCCGGUAAGUCCGCUGUGAAAGUCGGGGGGCUCAACCCUCGAAUGCCGGUGGAUACUGUCGGGCUAGAGUACGGAAGAGGCGAGUGGAAUUCCUGGUGUAGCGGUGAAAUGCGCAGAUAUCAGGAGGAACACCUAUUGCGAAGGCAGCUCGCUGGGACGUAACUGACGCUGAGACGCGAAGGCGUGGGGAGCAAACAGG
rnacentral:rRNA from 1 species